ensembl:lncRNA
AGUCGGUCCAUUGUUCCUUGGGGUGGUCGUUUACUUCCUCCCAACACUCCUUUUAUCUCAUAGAUUGCUGUGGAAUGCAAGGACGAUCGAGAAGUCUCUGUACACACAGAUCGCUGUGGAAUGCAAGGACGAUCGAGAAGUCUCUGCACACACAGAUAAAGAAGACAAAGGGGAACAUCUUGAUGUCUGUCACAUUCCAGGCAUUCCGUUGUAGUUUUUUUCCUGUCCCAAAUGGCAGGGUUUGAGUAGGCAAGAAGGUGCAUCCUACUGUAAAGAAGAUGUGACAUGUUUGGUUGCUACAGCUGCUCAAGCCUGGAGAGAAAUAAGGCCGCCAAAUGUCUGAAAGAUUAUUGCAAAAAAUGGUCUACUAAAAAAUGCCAACAAAACAAUUAGAUCAUGAUAGUAAAAACUUAAGUAGUUAAGAGUGAAAACACAGAUAUGCCAUCUUUCAAAACUCUCUCUCUUGAAAUAUGAAGCUUUGAAAAUCUGCAUUACAUUUUUAUAUUGAAAAUUCUUGUCAGCAGAAUAUAUCUGAAUUGUUUUUUAAAAAAUAAUAAUCUGGAAUUAAAGAAUGUAAAUAUAAAAAUGUGAAACAAACUUGCUUUAGUUGUUGCACAGUAUAUUGAGGGUAAAGUUUGGGAUGUCAUCCAUGUGACAAAAUUAGAUCAGUAGAUCAUCUUUGUGUAAUAAUAGAUAUAGCAUACAUCUUUGAAAUAUAAAUAAUUACUUUCAACAUAAUACUAGCCAGAAGCAGUAUUUCUAAUUAACAAGUGAACAAGAGAAUUCCUCCAUUAUUGCUUAUUAUCAUUGCAAAUGUUUAAAAUUGUGAUAAGCCAUUACUAUGGCAUUGCUAUAGGAAUCUGGUAACAGCUUUCCUUGACUGUAAUUAUUCAAAUUUUCAUGAACUGGAGAUUUUUACUGGCUCCAGCCCUCUAUUUUGUCUUUUAGAAGCCUAUUAAUAUUUGAAUAUAAUAAUAUAAUCUUGCAGUUCUAAUGGCAUAGGAGACUGAUUCAUCAAUCCCCUUGCUCACAAAUACAUUCUGUAAUAGUAUAAACGAUUAGUGGACAGACUUUUAGUCAACUAGUUACAGAAAGCAAUGUAAACAGGAUAAGCUACUGAAGGUAAAUCUAACAAUGCAAAAUACCUCAUUAAUAGAAAUAAAGUUAUCUGAAGUGAGCAUGAUGGCAAUUUGUUUUUCCCUUACCAAAAGCUCUUAUAACAGUUCAUAUAUUUUUUCAUAAAGAGAUGGAAAAGCUGAAACAAUAGGAUGAAAUGUAAGUGGGAAAUACUCAGCCACUACAAAAGUUUCAAAGAAAGCACAAACAGUGGAGCAACAGUGAUUUAGUGGAAGAAAAAUACAAGAGGGAAAGCUUUGUGUCUUUGUAGAUAACGCACCAAAACUGUAAGAAAGGCCUAGAAAGAAGUACUAUCUGGAACAUCAGUACAUACUAUCUGUUUUUCAUCAAAUAUAUUUUUCAUCAAAAAGAUGUGGAUAACUACAUACGGGAUGCAAGCAAUAAAAUGCCAGUGGAAGUUUUAUCUUAAAGCAAAACUCUGUUGAACAUUAUGUUUCUCAGUAAGGGACUGAAGUAGAAGAAAAAUAAAGUGUACAUACUUGCCAAAAUACAAGCAUGUUCCUUGGUCUCAGAAUUUCCCUUCCCCCAUGGAGGUCUCUGGACAGCUGUGAUGAAAGAUGGCAAAAACAGGCGUACAAAAUAAAUAUAUAGUCUAUAGCAGUAAUAUAGAUGGAUAAUUCCAACUUUGCUAUUACUGAUUUGCACUUGUGCUUCAGAAUCCAGGUCAAAAACAGACUCCACACCCUGGUGUCAUUUGCUUUUUUUGCCUGACAUAAUUACACACAAACAGUAUAUUUUUUUUAUCCUCAGCAUCAGUGGGCUCUACCUAAAAGCAGCCUGUCCUGUAGUAGGGUACUGAUUCCCAUCUCUUGAUGAUUUAUGCCAUUGUAUUUGUGUUUGCUGAAAUACAAGCACGAUAAAGCUGGUAAUCAAGCCAUUACAGCCACUAAGUGACAUAUUCUGUGAACAAUCCCAAUUAAAUAACAAUGGCUAUUUUUUUUUUUUUACAGGAUAUUUUCCCUACCCCCCUUCUGGCAGUAUUUUGUUCCUUAGAAGAGUCAUGUUAAUUAACUUUCUAACAAAAAUAGUUAAAUACAAUUUGAAAUGUCAUUGUUCAUAUGAAAAUAAUUAAUGGUAGCACACAUUCAUUGAAAUAUAGAUAUAGAGUCCAGAAGCUCUGAUAAAUACAAAUAAAGCAGACUUAUUCCCUUUUGACUAAAUCUUGAUUCCUCUUGUGUAUUUAAUAAAUAUGCUGC